rnacentral:rRNA from 1 species
UACGUAGGGGGCGAGCGUUGUCCGGAUUUAUUGGGCGUAAAGAGCGUGUAGGCGGCUUGGUAGGUCUGCUGUGAAAACUCGGGGCUCAACCCCGAGACGUCGGUGGAAACCACCUGGCUAGAGUCCGGAAGAGGAGAGUGGAAUUCCUGGUGUAGCGGUGAAAUGCGCAGAUAUCAGGAGGAACACCGGUGGCGAAGGCGGUUCUCUGGGCAUGUCCUGACGCUGAGGAGCGAAAGUGUGGGGAGCGAACAGG